CGUAGGAGACGAGCGUUUUCCGGAUUUACUGGGCGUAAAGCGUGUGCAGGCGGUUCGGCAAGUUGGAUGUGAAAUCUCCCGGCUCAACGUGGGAGGGGUCGUUCAAUACUACCGAACUUGAGGUCAUCAGAGGAAGGUGGAAUUCCGGGUGUAGUGGUGAAAUGCGUAGAUAUCCGGAGGAACACCAGUGGCGAAGGCGGCCUUCUGGGAUGAUCCUGACGCUCAGACACGAAAGCUAGGGGAGCGAACGGGAUUAGAGACCCCGGUAGUCCUAGCUGUAAACGAUGUAGACUUGGCGUCGGAGGGUUCAAAACCUUCGGUGUCGUAGCUAACGCGAUAAGUCUACCGCCUGGGGACUACGGCCGCAAGGUUA
rnacentral:rRNA from 1 species